GGGCGUCGUUUNUGUCGACGGUGCGCGUCGGACUUCACUGGCCGAUGCGCUCUCUGUCGGCGACGUUACUUUGAGGAAAUCAGAGUGCUCAAAGCAAGCGUUUGCUCGUGACUUCACUAGCAUGGAAUAACACAGAUGGGCUCUUUUUCGCAACGUUGGUCUGCGUCAACUGAGCAACGAUCGAUAGAGACGGUCGGGGGCAUUCGUAUUGCGCAGUUAGAGGUGAAAUUCUCCGAUCUGCGCAAGACGCACUAAUGCGAAAGCAGUUGCCAAGGACGUUCUCUUAUGAUCAAGAGCGAAAGUCGGGGGAUCAAAGAUGAUUAGAUACCGUCGUAGUCCCGACCAUAAAUGAUGCCAACUGAGCGUCGGCGACGCGGCUGUCAGCCGGACGUCGGCGCUCUUGAGAGAAAUUAAAGUCUUUGGGCUCCGGGGGUAGUAUGGUCGCAAGUCUGAAACUUGAAGGAAUUGACGGAAGGGCACCACAAGGCGUGGAUGUUGCGGCUUAAUUUGACUCAACACGGGAAAGCUUACUAGGUUUGGACACUUGAAUGAGGGACAUAUUGAAGCUCUUACCUUUUUUUGUGGAUGGUGGUGCAUGGUCGUUCUCAGCCCGUGGGUUGACCUGUCAGGUUUACUCCGGUAACGCGCGAGACCUCGGUUUGCUAAAUAGACACGGCUGUUUCGGCACCCGUGCUCUUCUUAGAGAGAGUCUUGACGAGAGUUGAGGGAAGUCGAGGCAAUAACAGAUCUGUGAUGCCCUUAGUUAUCCUAGGUCGCACGCGCCAUACAAUGUGGCGCACAACGAGUCUCCUAGGCCGACAGGAAUUCUCGUCGACGGCAGAUGCAUUGGUCCCGUGGGUUGGUGCAUCUACUUUUCGNAAGUGGAUCGCCGACGCGCGGUCGAUCUCGCGACGCUGUCGCGGGAGCUUCUGGGCAAUCUUGCAGAGCGCUACGUGACUGGGCUAGACUUUUGUAAUUGUUGGUCUUGAACGAGGAAUGCCUAGUAAUCGCAGGUCAUUAUCCUGAGAUG
rnacentral:rRNA from 1 species